UACGUGGGGGCAAGCGUUGUCCGGAUUUAUUGGGCGUAAAGAGCGUGUAGGCGGCCAUGUAGGUCCGUUGUGAAAACUCGAGGCUCAACCUCGAGACGCCGAUGGAAACCAUGUGGCUAGAGUCCGGAAGAGGAGAGUGGAAUUCCUGGUGUAGCGGUGAAAUGCGCAGAUAUCAGGAAGAACACCCGUGGCUAAGGCGGCUCUCUAGUACGGUACUGACGCUGAGACGCGAAAGCGUGGGGAGCGAACAGG
rnacentral:rRNA from 1 species